UUAAAAAAAAAACCUAAUCUCUUUGCUCUCAUCUCAUCAACGCAUUCUUGCAAGAGUGUUUUACCUAAAUAGUCAGUCUUUUUUGCUUAUGGUUGCUGCUGUUGAUGGCUUUUCCGGCGAGAUAGUGUUGGCUUUACGCUUUACGUCGUCAGCUCAGCUCUUUCGAUUCUCCCAAUUAGCUUUCAUCGAAUCGAUGAUCAUGCCAAAUCAACACGUAUCAAGUCUCUGCUCUCGCGGAUCCCCGAGAUCAUUAAUCACACCAGAUCACUCUACGAGAGUAAUCCAUAGAUGAUUGAGAUGCAAAUCCUCGUCCGUUACUCAAACUGCGUUGGUCUAAGUGGAUGAUCGAUCUGAUUCAGAACAUAUCUGCAAGACGACGGUGGACUUUUCGAGUUUAGCAUUGGUAAUGGGCAAACUGCGUGGGUCCUCUUCGCUACCCUACUUCAACCAAGGAGAUAGCUCUAUUGGGUUGCCCUAAAACAUCAUCUCCCACGAGUAGCCAGCGUAUAUAAGUUGCGUUUUCUUUCUUUACCUCUCCAAUCUCAUUGUUUUUUUAUGGUUUAGGAUUUGAAGGGAAAUUGUAAGCUUUUCGUAUUUGGGCAGUGUUUAAUUUUGUGUUAGGUCAUCUAACAAAGCAAGAUUGGUUUUAACUAUGUACCAAUUUUGUGUCGGAAGUUGACAACAUUAGUUAAUUGACCUCCAUGGGCAUAUUUAUCUUCAUGGAACUCUUCUCUUCCAUGGUGUAGCUCUAUGGAGGUCACACUUCCACAUCUGUAUUUUAUGUAUCUCUGUCCGAAACAAUCUCUAAUCAUUGCCAUUGGCUGAGUUCAUGAUAUUAGUUAUCUUGUUGUAGUCUUUGCUUAGAACAGUGGUUUUUAUUGUUUGUUGAAUCUUUAAGUUACUGUUUUUUUUUUAGAUUCCAAUUUUUUUUGUUUGCAGUCAUCCUUAAAGCAAAUAGGUUAUAUAACCUCUUUACCAAAUUUGUGUCGGAAGAUGACGACAUUGAUUUUUGCCUCUCCAUGACAAUUUUUUCAUUGGGAUGAUUCUUCUCUUCCAUUGAGUAAAAUCUAUGGAGGGGCACAUUUUUGGGUUUUAAACAUUACAUUAUUUCAGCAGCCUGAUGAUUUCUUGGAUGAAACAAUACCAACAACAAAAAUUGAAACAGAGCAGUAACAAGAGAAACGGUCUUAAUUUUAGUAAUAUGAUUCAUUGAGGAUAUUACUGAGUCUGAUAUAUAAGUGAGACCUGCUUUGAUAUUAUGGGUUUUGCUGAGUAAUGGGAAUAAUUGAGUUUGAAAUUGAAUGUCAUAAAAUAUUCUCCCCCAA